rnacentral:rRNA from 1 species
AGAGUUUGGGACCUGGCUCAGAUUGAACGCUGGCGGCAUGCUUUACACAUGCAAGUCGAACGGCAGCGAGGAGAAGCUUGCUUCUCUGUCGGCGAGUGGCGAACGGGUGAGUAUAGCAUCGGAACGUGCCAAGUAGUGGGGGAUAACCAAACGAAAGUUUGGCUAAUACCGCGUAAGCUCCAAGGAGGAAAGUAGGGGACCUAAAUAAGGCCUUACGCUAUUUGAUCGGCCGAUGUCGGAUUAGCUAGUUGGUGGGGUAAUGGCUCACCAAGGCAAUGAUCCGUAGCGGGUCUGAGAGGACGAUCCGCCACACUGGGACUGAGACACGGCCCAGACUCCUACGGGAGGCAGCAGUGGGGAAUUUUGGACAAUGGGGGAAACCCUGAUCCAGCCAUGCCGCGUGUAUGAAGAAGGCCUUAGGGUUGUAAAGUACUUUUGUUAGGGAAGAAAAGCUAGUUUUUAAUAAAAAUUAGUGAUGACGGUACCUACAAGAAUAAGCACCGGCUA